rnacentral:rRNA from 1 species
UGCCGCCUACGGGGGGCAGCAGUCGGGAAUAUUGCGCAAUGGAGGAAACUCUGACGCAGUGACGCCGCGUAUAGGAAGAAGGUCUUCGGAUUGUAAACUAUUGUCGUUAGGGAAGAGAAGGGACAGUACCUAAGGAGGAAGCUCCGGCUAACUACGUGCCAGCAGCCGCGGUAAUACGUAGGGGGCAAGCGUUAUCCGGAAUUACUGGGUGUAAAGGGAGCGUAGACGGCUGUGCAAGUCUGGAGUGAAAGGCGGGGGCCCAACCCCCGGACUGCUCUGGGAACUGUAUGGCUGGAGUGCAGGAG